rnacentral:lncRNA from 1 species
AUUGAGGAAGCUGUAGUCUAGAUUCGAGAAGUAGCUGACCAUAUACAGACUUUAGCAGUACAAGCUGACACGCUGAGUGUGAAGUAUGAAUUAGAGUCAGAUCGGGGGCAAGAAUUGGCUUUGUUACUUAGAAAGAUUAGAGUUCUGGGUACUAGGGCAAGGUCGUAUUUGUAAUUCAUUUUAUGUAAAGGAAUUUAAUUUCUAGUAAAGUUUUCUUAUAUGGAAUUGAAUUCAAAUUGACGC